UUCUGCUUCGAUACAUGAGUCUUCUCCGAUCGUUCCCCAGAGUGUUAAGUUCGCGGUCCGGUUUUCUGAGGAAAUCUGAAUCUCCCUGCGAGAUUUAGUUAUCUUGGCAACGUCUCCGAUCUGCAAGGUUAUUUCAUGAAUUAAAAUUAGAAGUACAAGCAAUACUUGAAACAGUUAGCAAUAAUUUAGCUACUGAUAUUUAUGUAAUCUGAUUAAAGAACUAAACUUUUAUUUAAAAAAAAUAUAAAAAGUAUGUAUUGUAUUAUGUACCUUUGUAAGCAUUAAAAACUACAUUCAUUUUUAACAAAUAAAAACUCUUAAAGCUAAAAUUUAAAGGCCGCUGCAAAAUUGUGUAUAUAUAUAUAUACAUAUAUAUAAACAGUACCCGCAACGUUAUUUUUUACAAGAUAAACGAUAGGAUAGGAUUCACGCACGAUAGGAUAGGAUUAGCGCACGAUAGAACAGUAUACACGCACGAAAGGAUAGGAUUAACGCACGAUAGAACAGUAUACACGCACGAUAUGAUAGGGCACCUGCCCCACCUGUCCCACCUCUCCCCCUAAGAUUUUUAACCCCCCAAGACAAUGGAGAUUUAUAACCCCACAAGACAAUGGAGAUUUAUAACCCCACAAGACAAUGAAGAUUUUUAACCCCACAACACAAUGGGUAUUGUAGGGGGGUGGGGGGGGGUGGUCACCCGACCCGAUAUAUGUAGACCACUAAAACACAACGGGGUAUUGUAUAGAGAUGACAAAAGCAAGUAUUUGUCAUUGACCUUAACAAAGAGGAAAGGGAAAGGAGACCUGAGUGUAGUAAAACUGAACGUGUACUUUUAAAACAGGGUUAGAGUAAGGACACGAUCCUAUGAAUGAAAAUGGAGUAGAUUGAUUACCCGAGCGUAGUAAAAGAAAAUUGAUAUGGAGUGAAAGGUAUCCUUUUAAAUAUACAGAGAGGAAACUAUGAACUGAGAUCGGCUAGAUUUGAAUAUCGGUGUUGUUUGAGUAAUGAUACGGAGAUUGGGUAGAUUUAAAUCUCGUUGUCGCUUGAGUAAAGAUACCUGAACGUAAAUGUCUGAGUAAAGAUGCCUGAACGUGAAUAUUUUUCUAUCUAUCUUUUUCUUUCAUUCUCUAUCAUGUUUUAACCUAAGGGACACGGUUGCGUGAGAAAAUUCCACCUUCUGUCAGUUUGAAGCAAUCUCGACCAAUUGUAAAUUUGUAGAAAAUGCUGCUAGUUACAAGGAAUGUUUUUUCUGUCUAUCUUUUCUUUCAUUCUUUAACAGGUGGUUUAUCCUGAGGAACUCUACUGCGUGAAAAAACACCGCCCCCUGUCAGAUUGAAGCAAUCUCGACCAAUCGCAAUAUCGUAAAAUACUGCUGACUACAAGGAAUGUAACUUCGAAAAUUUCAUUUUCUGACCAGCUCGAUCGGACCAACAUGGACACGAACUGUCGGUUAAUUAACGGCCGUGCUGUGUGCCCGCCAGUGCAUUUUAUCACUCCAAGAAUGCGGGACCAGGAGUCCGAUGAAUAUACAAUCCCUCAUCGUUCAACCUCGACGAGCGUAACGAUUGACAGUGAACGGACACGCGUGUUAAUCCAACCCCUGGUUACUACCCUGUUAUGCACUUGAGUAUUCACCCCCUAGCAUAAUCACAAACAUCAAUCUAU